GCUUAGUGCCAUGCUUAAAAAUGUCAUUGGAACUCUUGAUUUUCAUUUCAAGUACAUGUUACAGGGGGAGACUUAUCCUGAGGAAUUUUUAUAGACAGCUGUGAAUCUGUUUAGCACCUUCAAAAGAAGGGGAUCACAGAAACAUGGCAUAAUCUCAAACAUAAUUGUUAAGGAUCUGUUUACCUUCAAGGUAUAAAUCAGUUAUACUUACAUCUCUGUCGGGAUAACAAACCAGCAUUAGCACUAUACAGAAAGAUGGGA